rnacentral:lncRNA from 1 species
GGCGCUGGGAAGCCCUCGGGCCAGAGGCUGAUGACGUGGAAUCCUCGAGGGGACUGCCUGCUGCUCAGGGUAGAAGGGGACAUCCUAAUGCGGCACCCAUGACAGCCCCCCACCAUUCCUGCCCCUCAGACCCACUGUCCCUGGAGACCUGCAGAGGGAACCACUGCUGAAGAGAAGGCGUCUCCGUCACUUGCUUUGUCUCCCCUUGGUCACCACAAAGACAGAUGCUCCCAGCCCUCAGGACUCAAGUGCAGCAUUGCAGAGGAUGUUUGCUGAGCACCUGCUAUCUGCCAGGCACUGUGCUAGGUGCAGGGGAUCUUGCAACAAACAAAAUUCCUGCUUUUAUGGAGC